AAGACCUUGCACUUUUGGAGCGGCCGAUGUCUGAUUAGCUAGUUGGUGGGGUAAUGGCUUACCAAAGCUUCGAUCAGUAGCUGGUCUGAGAGGACGGCCAGCCACACUGGGACUGAGACACGGCCCAGACUCCUACGGGAGGCAGCAGUGGGGAAUUUUGGACAAUGGGCGCAAGCCUGAUCCAGCCAUGCCGCGUGAGUGAAGAAGGCCUUCGGGUUGUAAAGCUCUUUCAGCCGGGAAGAAAAGGUUGCGACUAAUAAUCGCAAUUCAUGACGGUACCGAAAGAAGAAGCACCGGCUAACUACGUGCCAGCAGCCGCGGUAAUACGUAGGGUGCGAGCGUUAAUCGGAAUUACUGGGCGUAAAGGGUGCGCAGGCGGUUUUGUAAGUCAGAUGUGAAAUCCCCGGGCUUAACCUGGGAACU
rnacentral:rRNA from 1 species